rnacentral:lncRNA from 1 species
GCUCUCUGAGGAGCUUUCAAUACUUUGGGGUCAAGUUUGAGGCAGUUGUAACUGUACUGAGUUUAGUUUUGCUAAUAAUGGUAUUCUACGUGUGUCAGCCUCGUGUGGACUUCUGUAAUGACUAAUGGAUAUGUUUAUAUCCUGAGCAUUUGCUGUAGGAAUUUUAAAUGCAAUCCCAAAACUCAAGAUUACCUUAUUUGGAGAAAUAUUCGUGUUACUAUGUUUAAAAUUUAAUAGAACCAUAUUUUACCUUUCACUUUGGGACUCGCACAGGAUGUUUGCAGCUCUUGAUAUACAGGAGUGUUAAGGGUCUUCAUAAACAGAAACCGCAAGGAACCUGGGAUCUGACAGCUGUUGGAGGAAUGCCUGUGAGGAAGGAGGAGGAACAGAAGAAUGCUUUGAUGUCUUAAAUGGUACAUCCAAACUUAAGUGAAAUAGAGCUGUGAGGACAUUUUGGGGAGAAGUGACCUAGAUAAGCACUGACUGUUGCAUUCAUCUCUCUUCUUGCUGAUUGUGAUGAUUUCCUGUGCCAUAGCCAUUCAAAGUCUGCCAAAAAAGGUGUGACCUAGUAUAUUCCCAGCUGUGGUGGCCACGCAGAGAGACUCCUGCUUGAGGAAAGGAGAGGGAAGAGUAAAGACGAGUUUGUCUUGCAUCUUGGGUAUCAGGUCAGUAAAAAACAAACAAACAAAAAAAACAACGGGCUUCUUUUGUUCCAGGCCUUGCCUCCUGGAUGGCAUUUUUGAACCCACCCUGGGCCAGAGGGGAGCCCACUUCUUUGAAGACAGAAACACAGGACUGGCAACAUUUACCAUAAGCUGACUGAGCAGCCAUUGGGCCUUGAGUGAACAUUGGUGGUAGCCAGGCAGUACUUGUCUCAGUACUUGCCUCAGGCCUGGGGUGUCGGUGACCACAGGGAGAGCAUCCAUCUGCUUGAGGAAAGGAGAACAAAGAAAAUAAAGGGCUUAAUCUUGCACUUGAUUGCCAGCUCAGCCAUAGUAGAAUACAGCACCAAGUAAAUUCCUAAGGAUCCUGAUUCCAGGUCCUGGCUCCCAGAUGACAUUUUAGGACUUGUCUUGGGCUUAGGGGGAGCUCGUCAUACUGAAGGGAAAAACACAAGCCUGGCUGGAUUUGCCACCAGCUGAAUAAAGAGUGCUUGGGCCUUGAGUGAACAUUGGCAAUAGCCAAGGAGUGGUCACCAUGGACCUUAGGCAAGAAACCCGGUGCCGUGCUGGCUUUGGAUCUGACCCAGCAUAAUCUCACUGGUAUUUUACUUCUUGUCCAUUUACUUUUUAGUUUAUCAUACACACCAUGUUUACUAGUACUAAAACUGUCUUAAAAUAUUGCAAUUUUGACCCUUUUUCUAAUUGACCUUUAUGUUUUUACAAGCACAUUUUAUUACAUAUGAAUGAGACUUUACUAUGUUAUAUGUAACUCUUAAUUCUGUAAAUAAUAGAUUGCUUAUCUGAAAUAUAGCUGAUAUUUGUUUCUUAAUUAUUUGGCUAUUCCCUAUAUGUUAUACUCUACUAAAGAUCAUGGGAUUUAGAUUCAGAAAACUUACUUCCUAGCUCUUAUUAUUUCUGUGAUCUUGCAAAAGAAAACAAAAAUGAACCAUUGUUUUUUUAUCUGUAACAGGAAAUGUACUUCACAGGAUUGUAAUGAGAAUUAAAUUAGAUAAUAUACAUGAAAAUCA